AUGCUGCUCUCCUGGGUCAGGGCGAGAGAGCACACACACCACAAGGGUUUCCACAAGGCGGAAGGGCCACGCUGGCGCCAGGGGCCCAGGGCCCCUCCACCUGGAGACCCGCGCUGCAUCGGGCUGCCACGGCUCCCCAGCCUCCCCGGCCUCCCCUCUCUCUGGGUGUCUGCAGCCUCACGGACCCUGCCUGGGGGCCGGGCGGGGGGGUGCAGGCCCGGCCUGCACAGAGGCGUGCCAGGGGCACAGAGAGAGGCCCCGGCAUUCUUCUCCCACGUCCCAGGGCCCGAAAGAUGGAUCCCCAAGGCCGGCUCCCCGCCCCCCAACACGGCAACAAGGUGCCCCACGGAGGCACAUUCAGGCCCACUGGGGCAACCUGCGCCACACCCCCGACACGACCGGGAAACCCAAACCCCUGGCACCUCCUCUGCCUCAGGACUUCCGCCAGGACUCACCGCCCCUGCGGAAACCCUCUCUCUUCCUUUGUUCUCUCCCUCUCUCUCUCUCCCUCUCGGUCCCACCCGCUGUCACCCUUUCCCUGGCGAGCGCGCGCGCACCGAAGCUUUCUCUCCUUUGCUGGACCCAUCCGACGCACGAUCAGCCACUUGCCCUCACAAGAGUCUGUCCGUGCCAGCCGGCUCUCCAGGAACCCCAGCACGGGCGCACUGAUGCUACCCUGCCCUGACGAAGGGUGACGGCCACCAACUCCCCUUGACCUCUCCAUGAUGCGGAAUCCCCUCAGCGCCCGUAAGACCCCCCCGGAGCCGUUCCCGUGCCCAGCAGCAGGCACGAACCCCCUGACGAGACGUGGUCGCUACCCGGCGGGUCCCGCCCGCCCCACGCCCCUCCCAGGCCCGACCACACACCAACCGGGACACCCAAGUCGGCCGGGAGACACGGCUCAAAUCCCCACAGGGCGUGGGACAUUCCCCCAAACAGCCGGGACUCCUGAACGGGCCAGGCCUUCCAGGGCCUCAAGCCCCGGGCCUUCCUGGCAAGCACGCGGCCGCCGGGCCUCAUCAAAGCCCUCCGUCACCGUCGGGGCCAGGACACCGCCACCGCUGCCCAAGCCCAGGCCUCCCGUCUCCGCUCGCCAUCAAGCCGCCCGCCGCAGGACCCGGACACCCGCCCCGAGCAGCCUCCCAGGCACUGCCAGCUGAGAGACGUCCCUGGCCGCCGACCUCCCCGCUCUGCCCAGGCCCCCGCGCGGCGACCUGGGCGAAGCGCUCCACGCGGCGCGGGUGGCUCGCUCUGCCGGGCAGACCACCCCCUCCAGGGCGUCCAAGGGCUCGGCAUCGGACCCUCCAGGGAGAGGGAGACCGUGCACCGGGAAGGACUCCGACCCGUGGCCUCCCAAAGGACCCCCCCAAGGUGCGGUCAGCGCCGCGGCCCAGGGACCUGGCGGCUGCCUUCCCCAGACCCCCACGGGGAGCCACGCCUCCCAGAGGAGAGGCCACAUGCAAGACCGUCCCCGCCCCUGCCCGCGCGGUCCUUCCCGACCCGGGCCUCCCACAGCCGCUGACGCCAUCCCACUUGAGGCCAGGGCACCUCCUCCAGAGCCCCUCGCCCAUCCAGACCUGGGCCUGUCCACCCACGUCCCCGGCAGGCUCCCUCUGCCCGCCUGUCGCUCACCACUUCAGCUGCCCCCUUCUCGCCACCCAGCCCCAGCCUCCGCCCCCACAUCCCUGGACGUCCCAGGGGAGCGCCCUCAGGGGUUCCCAGGCACCCCCCCUCCCAUGGGGGACGGCCCGGAUCCAAGGGCCCCCGCUCCCACAGACCCCCUGCAGCAGGUGGCCCUCAGGGGUCCCCAGAGCAGAAAGA
ensembl:lncRNA